rnacentral:rRNA from 1 species
UACGGGGGGAGCAAGCGUUGUUCGGAUUUACUGGGCGUAAAGGGCGCGUAGGCGGUCGUGACAAGUCACUUGUGAAAUCUCCGGGCUUAACUCGGAACGGUCAAGUGAUACUGUCGGACUAGAGUACAGAAGGGGCAACUAGAAUUCUCGGUGUAGCGGUGAAAUGCGUAGAUAUCGAGAGGAACACCUGCGGCGAAGGCGGGUUGCUGGGCUGAUACUGACGCUGAGGCGCGAAAGCCAGGGGAGCGAACGGG